rnacentral:rRNA from 1 species
CCUACGGGAGGCAGCAGUAGGGAAUUUUCGUCAAUGGGCGCAAGCCUGAACGAGCAAUGCCGCGUGAACGAGGAAGGUCUUCGGAUCGUAAAGUUCUGUUGAAGGGGAAAAAGAGCGGAGAGAGGAAAUGGUCUCCGAUUGAUAUUACCCUUCGAGGAAGUCACGGCUAACUACGUGCCAGCAGCCGCUGUAAUACGUAGGUGGCGAGCGUUAUCCGGAAUGAUUGGGCGGAAAGGGUGCGUAGGCGGCCUGCUAAGUCUGGAGUGAAAGGUACCGGCUCAACCGGUACAGGCUCUGGAAACUGGCGGGCUAGAGAGCAGGAGAGGGCGGUGGAACUCCAUGUGUAGCGGUAAAAUGCGUAGAUAUAUGGAAGAACACCAGUGGCGAAGGCGGCCGCCUGGCCUGUUACUGACGCUGAGGCACGAAAGCGUGGGGAGCAAAUAGGAUUAGAUACCCCGGUAGUC